GAUGAACGCUGGCGGCGUGCUUAACACAUGCAAGUCGAGCGGACAGGCGCGGCUCUUGCGGGGCUCACGUGAGGCGAACGGGGGUGAAAAACGCGAGUAAAACGCCCCUGACUGUGGGAGAACACUAGGAAAAAGGGGCGAAUAUCGGAUAGGAGAUCUUGAUGCACGGUGGGGGAUGGAGAGAGUCGGCGGUGGGGGAUGGACUCGAGGGUUAUCAGCUUGUUGGUGGGGUAGGGGCGUACCAAGUCUUCGACGGGUAGCCGGCCUGGGAGGGUGGCCGGCCACCUUGGUACUGCGGUACGGCCCAGACUGCUACGGGCGGCAGCGGUGGGGAAUCUUGCGCAGUGGCCGGAAGCCUGAUGCGGCGACGCCGCGUUCGUAAUACCGUCCUUCGGGUUGAAAACCGCUUUGUCCUGUAACGAGGCCUUCGUGACGGUACUGAGUCAAGAAGCACCGGCUAACUACGUG
rnacentral:rRNA from 1 species